rnacentral:lncRNA from 1 species
AAUUUUAUGAGUGUGGUUCUUGUUUAAUUUCAAGAAACAAAAGGUUUGGAUAACCGCAUAAGGAUCGUUUGAGUUCGGUCAUGUAUCAAGCAUCUGCAGACUGUGCAGUCACCCAACAAUUAUAUAGUUGGUAAAGAGAAGGUGUUUGAACAUUUUUAGGACAGAGCAUGAUAGUAGUAUCGUGUAUAUUUGUUGCUAGUUAUCACAAUAAGGUGAUGAUGGUCACUAAAAUUGAAGCAUAAAAUGCCUAUGCUCCUUUCGCCAUAAGGUGUUGCAGGGCAUUAGAAGGAACAUUUGCAUACCGUAACUUUGUGGCACUAUAAAAUGUGCAGACUACAUCUUAAGACUAGAAAUAAUAGUAAAAAACGUCAAGUAUUAUGAACAUCAUAAUAGAGUCUUGCAAUUACCCUAUUAGUCACGGUGAAAGUUUUGCAUUAUUUGUUUAUGUUAGUCAUGGUUAGUUCAACAAAUUUGAUACCGGAUUAUGAUCACAAAGAGUGAUGUUGUCCUUCAUCUUGAUAGUUUCCUACUUCUUAAGUUUGAUGAAUGAGUUACUAAUAGCAUUAAAGCAACCGUAAUAUGUGUGAAUUGUGGGGAUGGCUUAGCUAUUUUGAGAAAUAGGAUAUACUUAAAAAUAAUGUAAAAGUAAUUUGCUUCUUAAAAGAGACAGCGAUUAUCUCUUAUAAUGAAGUUUUAAGGUAUUGAAAGGUUGGAGAUCUUCUAGCAAAUACCUUAAAUGUGGGGGAGUUUACCCAAAUGUUAGCAAAUUACUCAGUAAGUCCUAAUAUAUGUUUGGAGGACUUAACAUUGAAAAACAACUACUCUUAAAGGAAAUAAUUUACAUGCAUGGAUAUAAAGUUUGUGAUGGCCAUAUAAUGAGUAGUCAACCUAAUGGUACCAAUUUUUAAAGGUUUGACUAGAGAGUAAGUUGUAUCAUCGAGAGGAAUAAGUUAAAACCCUACGUCUUAAGAAUCACCAUAAUGGCAACCUAACCUAGCUGACUGGAGAUCCCAAGAUCUAGGUUUAAAGGGACAACCGAAUUGUGGAUGAUUCAAUGAGAGCACUGCGGAGAUAAUCUCCUACCCAUGUCCUAUGAUGAAACAGUGCUAUCUGCAGUGUAUUUAGGAUAAGCUUUGCUUUUAAUGAUUCCUAUACUUGGAAAUAACAAGUGGGGUAUUGCAAGAUACUCUUAAUGGGAAGU